AUCGUGCUUCUCCCACUCGGAUCAGCCGACGGAGCCGACUUUGGCCCCUUCUCCGCCGCCGGAACCGACAUCGACCUCAGCCCGCGGCCGUCCUUCUUCUUCCCCACCGCCGCGGCUGUCCUCCUCACGGGCUUCUCCUCCGUCCCGCUGCCGGCGCUACGCCGCGUCCUCGCCGGAGCCGCCGCCGUAUCGUUCUUCUCCCACUCGGACCCCCGCUGCCCUCGCGGCCUCGCCAUCGCCAAUCCCUCCAUGCCUUCUCGGGCUCAUGGUGGAGGAGCAGGGGCUGCCUUCGGUGGAGGGUUACAGCCGAUCCCCAUCAACAGCGCCCGCGAGUGA
rnacentral:lncRNA from 1 species